GGAAGGAUCAUUACCACACCUAAAAAACUUUCCACGUGAACUGUCAAACCUGUUCUGUGCUUGUGCUGGGUCUGCGUUUUCGGACGCGGACGCGGCGGAGGCUGAACGAAGGCUGGUUUCAUUUGUAUGAGAUCAGCUGAUAUAUUUUUUCAAACCCCUUUUUUACAAAAUGACUGAUCAAUACUGUGAGAACGAAAGUUCUUGCUUUAAACUAGAUAACAACUUUCAGCAGUGGAUGUCUAGGCUCGCACAUCGAUGAAGAACGCUGCGAACUGCGAUACGUAAUGCGAAUUGCAGAAUUCAGUGAGUCAUCGAAAUUUUGAACGCAUAUUGCACUUUCGGGUUAGACCUGGAAGUAUGUCUGUAUCAGUGUCCGUACAUCAAACUUGCCUCUCUUUUUUCUGUGUAGUCAGGAUUGGAGACGUGCAGAUGUGAAGUGUCUCGCGCACUUGCGUCUUCGGACGACAAGCUGUCGAGUCCUUUUAAAGCGACACGAUCUUUCUAUUGUUUCUGUGAAGCGUAUUGCUCGAACGCGGUGAUUUUCGGAUCGCUCGCAGUCGUCGGCGACUUCGGUGAGAACAUAAAGGAGGAAACCUCAAUUCGCGGUAUGUUCGGCUUCGGCUCGACAAUGUUGCUUAUUGUGUGUGGAAUCUGUUUUCGCCUUGAGGUGUACUGAUGGUUGUGUGCUUGAACUGGGAGUCGGUGUGUAGUAGAGUGGUGCAGCAUGCAUGGUUACGCCUUUUAUAUAGAGAGAUGUCUAUUUGGGAAAGUUGUACUUUUUGGCAAGCAUCUUGCCGACUGUAUCUCAAUUGGACCUGAUAUCAGACAAGACUACCCGCUGAACUUAAGCAUAUUAAUAAGCGGAGGAAAAGAAACUAACAAGGAUUCCCCUAGUAACGGCGAGUGAAGCGGGAUGAGCUCAAGCUUAAAAUCUCUGUGCAAGUUUUGCAUGGCGAAUUGUAGUCUAUAGAGGCGAUGUCAGUGCAGCUAUUCGGGGUAAGUUCCUUGGAAGAGGACAGCAUCGAGGGUGAUACUCCCGUUUGUACCUGAGUAGCUUGCGCGUACGACACGUUUUCUUCGAGUCGCGUUGUUUGGGACUGCAGCGCAAAGUAGGUGGUAAAUUCCAUCUAAAGCUAAAUAUUGGUGCGAGACCGAUAGCGAACAAGUACCGUGAGGGAAAGAUGAAAAGAACUUUGAAAAGAGAGUUAAAGAGUACCUGAAACUGCUGAAAGGGAAGCGAAUCGUAUCCAGUGUCUAUAAUCCGUGGCAUAUUUCAUUGGCGAGUGUGUGCGUGCGGCGCGUAAGAAGUAGCUUGCUGCUCUUUGUGUUGUUCUGCGCUUGCUUGCUGGUGCCCUGUGUCGUGGUGGGACGUCAGAGUCAGUUCGUAUGCUGCGGGAAAUGGCUAUCGAGGAGGUAGGUUAGGAGCUUGCUCUUGGCUGUUAUAUCUUGGUAUGCUAGUGGUCGUGGUUGGGACUGAGGUGCCUACAACGUGCUUUAAAGUCUUGCGGUGUCUUAUUUGGUUAACUGUUUGGAUAGCUUGCUAUGCCUAUGGCCUAAUCGAGUGAUGGAUACUGUAGGUAACUUUUGCCGUUCGGGACUUUGACGAAAUGGAGCGAUUCGGCCCGUCUUGAAACACGGACCAAGGAGUCUAACAUGUGUGCAAGUGUUAGGGUGUGGAAACCCCAGCGCGAAAUGAAAGUAAAGGGUAGCGUACGCUGCCUGAGGUAGGAAACCUUUGUUCUCAGAGGUGGCACUAUCGACCGAUCAUGAACCUUCGUGGUGAAAGAUUUGAGUAUGAGCACAUAUGUUGGUACCCGAAAGAUGGUGAACUAUGCCUGAGUAGGGUGAAGCCAGGGGAAACUCUGGUGGAAGCUCGUAGCGAUUCUGACGUGCAAAUCGAUCGUCAAACUUGGGUAUAGGGGCGAAAGACUAAUCGAACCAUCUAGUAGCUGGUUCCCUC
rnacentral:misc_RNA from 1 species